rnacentral:tRNA from 2 species
GGGCUCAUAGCUCAGUUGGUUAGAGCAGAGGACUCAUAAUCCUUUGGUCGCUGGUUCGAGUCCAGCUGGGCCCACCA